CUAGGAGAAGAACUGUCAAUGUGAAAUCGCUCUAGGUCAGAGCUGUGUUUUCUGUCCUUAAUCCCAGUGAACUCAAGAGCUUUAAGGAUGAUCCAGCCUGCUUCUGAUACCACUGGCACCACCACUUCUGACACCACCCUCUUCAUCACCUUGGCUUUGCUCUUCCUAGAGUGGGAUAGAACUGUUUGGAGACCUCUCCAAAGUGGAUCUGGCCAUGGGCAAAGAAAGAAAGCAGUCUGUGUACAUUAUGCGACGGGAGUAUAAGGCAAUCCAGUUCCCACAUGAGUGGUUCCUCUCCCUUCUCUUCAGCAGACACUGGGGAACCGUUCCUUGAAAGCAAGAUGCCACAGAUAAGCUCACAGCUGGCUUGAUACCAGUGGGAGGGCUCCUCUGAGCUCCCCCAUUGAAACACCUGCUUCUGUCAGCCGCAGACCCGGUCCCCUGAAGACACCCUGGGAACCGUGUCCCAGAGCCUCCUCCCAGCUGUUAUCUUGACACAAUCAUUGUGUUCUGGGUUUUUAAUCUGGGAGAUUAAAUCUUUACAUGCCUGAGUGGAAAGAUCAUAUCCUUGUAAUUUUUCACCUAUAAAAUUUCUCAGCUGCCUUAGUUUAAC
rnacentral:lncRNA from 1 species